AUCCAGCUGACGAGUCCCAAAUAGGACGAGAAUCGCGUUCUGGAU
rnacentral:hammerhead_ribozyme from 1 species